rfam:Schistosoma haematobium scaffold1156_8, whole genome shotgun sequence.
AGCCUUCUAAAUUCGCGCCGAGGUUUCGUCAGACAUUAGAACUGACGAGAUUCCAAAGAUAUGUGAGGCG